UACGUAGGGUGCGAGCGUUAAUCGGAAUUACUGGGCGUAAAGCGUGCGCAGGGGGUGAUGUAAGACAGGUGUGAAAUCCCCGGGCUUAACCUGGGAACUGCAUUUGUGACUGCAUCGCUGGAGUGCGGCAGAGGGGGAUGGAAUUCCGCGUGUAGCAGUGAAAUGCGUAGAUAUGCGGAGGAACACCGAUGGCGAAGGCAAUCCCCUGGGCCUGCACUGACGCUCAUGCACGAAAGCGUGGGGAGCAAACAGG
rnacentral:rRNA from 1 species